AACGUAGGUGGCGAGCGUUAUCCGGAAUUACUGGGCGUAAAGCGUGUGCAGGCGGGCUGACAAGUGGUGUAUGAAAUCUUCCGGGCUUAACCGGGAGCGGUUAUGCCAGACUGUCAGUCUUGAGUGCGAGAGAGGAGCGUGGAAUUCCCGGUGUAGAGGUGAAAUUCGUAGAUAUCGGGAGGAACACCAGUGGCGAAGGCGGCGAUCUGGGAAGAUACUGACGCGUGAGGUGGCGAAAGCGUGGGGAGCAAACAGG
rnacentral:rRNA from 1 species